UACGGGGGGGCAAGCGUUGUUCGGAAUUACUGGGCGUAAAGGGCUCGUAGGCGGCCAACUAAGUCAGACGUGAAAUCCCCAGGCUCAACCUGGGAACUGCGUCUGAUACUGGAUGGCUUGAAUCCGGGAGAGGGAUGCAGAAUUCCAGGUGUAGCGGUGAAAUGCGUAGAUAUCUGGAGGAAUACCGGUGGCGAAGGCGGGCUACUGGGCCGAUACUGACGCUGAUGCGCGAAAGCCAGGGAGCGAACGGG
rnacentral:rRNA from 1 species